AAUACAAAGUAUUUGUAUUUAUUACAAAUUCCACUCCAUAAUUGUGGAGUGGAAUUAAAAAAGGGUGUCCGCGCAUCCUUGAUAAAAGUUUACAUUCAUGUAUCUAAAAUUAAGGCCUUAAAUGUCCUAACUUCACUAAUUAAAAUGUAAGUUGACCUUACACUCAAGUAUCUAAUACUAACGCCUCAAAAGGUAUUUAAUUAAAAUGUAAGUUGGCCUUAAAUACAUUAAUCGGGUCUUAAUUUUUGAGGUGGCAGGACUAUUUAAUCUCAUAUUCAAUAUGUUUUUUUUAUUGUGAGGCUUUUCUUUUAGGGAAACUUUUGAGUCGCAUGCAGAAAUAUUUAUUGCGUUCUGUGACUCGAAGCUUUGGUGGCCACCGCUCACUAGCUGCUAAUCUACUCCUGCUAUCUAGCUAACUAGCCAGCUAGCUUUUUUUGUGGAAGUGUAAAUUAGUUGGACGAUGUUCAUUUUUGCCACUGGCUCACUUCUGUUCCAAACCCAUUCAAGGCUACAUUCAUUCUGCACAGAAAAACUUGGUACUUCUACUACGUAAAAUAUGCGAUUGUCUUAUUGUACAUUUCUGUUUUGAUACAAGUCCUAAAUGUCAUUCAAAAUGAUCUUAACGGGUCUUAAAAAAGUCUUUUAAUUUGAGUUGGUGAAGCCUGCAGAAAACCUGUAGAUGUAGAAUUAGUUCAAUUUUGUGUAAUUUAAUCUCAGCGUAAACACAAUACAGUUUUCUGGGUUUUU